rnacentral:lncRNA from 1 species
CAUAAAUGUCUUUUUAGUUCCUUUCCAAUUUUAAUAUUUUUAUUAUUCAACAUAUUUUUCUCAUGAAUGUUGUCUAAAUUCGUCAUUUAACCAAGUCCACAUUUGUAUGCACAAUUAACCUGUGCUCUACUUUACAUACUUAAAGAAAUUUGAAAAUUUAAUGAACACUCUAGCGAUGUUUAAUAUUUUGGUGUGUUAUCUUACUUAGGAAACCCUCUUGCAUAUUAUGGGGAAGAAGGGGGCUGGGAAUUUAGUAAAUCAUAUUUUUGUUACUUUCAUCAAAGGGUGAUAACUGUGUGUCUCCAAAAAAAUGUGAUUCUGUCAUCUCUGAGCAUCACUUACAUUCAAGUCACCUAAUCUUUAUUGAGGGUCUAGGACAUAUCAGGCAAUGCACUAGAAAUUAGAGUGGAUAAGGCAUGACAUUUUGCUAGAAUCAUUUAAAGUCCUUCUAACUCUACUUUUGUCAGUGAAACUGGUAAGUCCUGUCUUUGGAAUUUAUUGUUCUAAAAACAGUGCUUUUUUCUUUAUUUUUCUUUC